rnacentral:lncRNA from 1 species
GGCUAAAGGGAAUGGGACUCUAGGUUUAUAUGUCAUGAGUAACUCAUCCGCUCUCUUCUUUCUUUUAUCUUUCUCACUCAAAUUAGAACCAACAUCAGUAUCAGUUUCGGACUCAGGUUCUUCUAUACAGUUAGUUUCAGUACCAACAUCCUCUUUUAAAUUCACAUUUUCGCUAGCUUCAGUACUAGCCUCUCUCACCUGAUUUUCAUAUAGAUCCUUAAGAAUCC